rnacentral:miRNA from 1 species
AGAAUUCUCUUAUCCAACAUCAACA